rnacentral:rRNA from 1 species
GACGAACGCUGGCGGCGUGCUUAACACAUGCAAGUCGAACGGAAAGGCCCUGCUUUUGUGGGGUGCUCGAGUGGCGAACGGGUGAGUAACACGUGAGUAACCUGCCCUUGACUUUGGGAUAACUUCAGGAAACUGGGGCUAAUACCGGAUAGGAGCUCCUGCUGCAUGGUGGGGGUUGGAAAGUUUCGGCGGUUGGGGAUGGACUCGCGGCUUAUCAGCUUGUUGGUGGGGUAGUGGCUUACCAAGGCUUUGACGGGUAGCCGGCCUGAGAGGGUGACCGGGGACAGUGGGACUGAGAUACGGCCCAGACUCGUACGGGGGGCAGCAGUGGGGGAGAUUGCACAAUGGGCGGAAGCAUGAUGCAGCAACGCCGCGUGGGGGAUGGCGGGGGUAGGGUUGUAAGGAGAUUGCGCCUGGGAAGAAGCGUGAGUGGCGGUAAGGGGUAAAGAAGCACCGGAUAAAUACGUG